rnacentral:rRNA from 1 species
AUUUUAACUGUACUAAGGUAGCAUAAUAAUUUGCCUUAUAAUUUGAGGCUAGAAUGAAUGGUUUGACGAAGGUUUAUCUGUCUCUGUUUCAUUUUUUAGAAAUUAAUUUUCAGAGUGAAAAAGCUUGAAUUUUUUAAAGGGACGAGAAGACCCUAUUGAGCUUGUAAUUUUUAUAUAAUUAUAUUACUAUAAUAUUAAUUAUUUAUAAAUUUUAGUUGGGGUGACUAAGGAAUAAAGAAGUAACUUCCUUAAAAUAAAAAUUGUUAAAUAAAGUAACCAAUAUAGUAUUGCUUAUAAUAUAGUUACCAUAGGGAUAACAGCGUAAUUUAUUUAGAGAGCUCAUAUUGAAAAAUAAGAUUGCGACCUCGAUGUUGGAUUAAAGUAACCUUAAGGUGCAGAAGCCUUAAUUGGUAAAUCUGUUCGAUUUUUAAAACUUUACGUGAUCUGAG